rnacentral:rRNA from 1 species
UACGGAGGGGGCAAGCGUUAUCCGGAUUCACUGGGUUUAAAGGGUGCGUAGGUGGCUUUGUAAGUCAGUGGUGAAAGCCCGGAGCUCAACUCCGGAACUGCCAUUGAUACUGCUUAGCUUGAAUCACGUCGAGGUGGAUGGAAUAAUACAUGUAGCGGUGAAAUGCUUAGAUAUGUAUUAGAACACCGAUUGCGAAGGCAGUUCACUAGGCGUGUAUUGACACUGAGGCACGAAAGCGUGGGGAUCAAACAGG